AUUGAACGCUGGCGGCAUGCCUAACACAUGCAAGUCGAACGAGUGGCGAACGGGUGAGUAAUAUAUCGGAACGUACCCGAUAAAGGGGGAUAACUAAUGGAAACGGUAGCUAAUACCGCAUACUAUCCGAGGUGCCCAGAUUGGAUUAGCUAGUAGGUGGGGUAAAGGCUCACCAAGGCGACGAUCCGUAGCGGGUCUGAGAGGAUGACCAGCCACACUGGAACUGAGACACGGUCCAGACUCCUACGGGAGGCAGCAGUGGGGAAUUUUGGACAAUGGGCGCAAGCCUGAUGCAGCCAUGCCGCGUGUAUGAAGAAGGCCUUAGGGUUGUAAAGUACUGUCAGUCGGGAGGCGUUACCGACAGAAGAAGCACCGGCUAACUCCGUGCCAGCAGCCGCGGUAAUUC
rnacentral:rRNA from 1 species